AGCAGCCGCCGCGGUAAUACGAAGGUCCCGAGCGUUGUUCGGAAUCACUGGGCGUAAAGGGAGCGUAGGCGGCGUGGUAAGUCAGAUGUGAAAUCCCGGGGCUCAACCCCGGAACUGCAUCCGAUACUGCCAUGCUAGAGGAUUGGAGAGGUAGCUGGAAUUCUUGGUGUAGCAGUGAGAUGCGUAGAGAUCUGGAGGAAUACCGGUGGCGAAGGCGGCCCCCUGGACAAAGACUGACGCUCAGGUGCGAAAGCGUGGGGAGCAAACAGGAUUAGAUACCCCGGUAGUCCCUGUCUCUUAUAC
rnacentral:rRNA from 1 species